UAUCUGUCCAAGGGACAUAGAAAAUAAAAUCGACCAAAAGCGUGAUACAGAACAAGAGUCUGCGGGAUCACCUUUCGGCACUUGUUUUUUUGCAGAUGAAAAGAAAAACAUAAGAGAGGAGGGAAAAAGACAAGCCCAGACGAAGCUCCUGUUCUUUGUCGAACUCGAUUUUUAUUUGACGCGAUAACAAGAGAGCAACAUUGUCCAAUGAAAUGCGAUUUCAUCUGCCCAGGCGGACUAUUCUGAGCUGCCCGAGCUCACUUUGCUCCCUCAUCACUUCCGCCAUGACUGAUCUUUCACCUUCCCUCCCGGUUUGCUGCCUCAGCUCGUCGGGGGGAACCGGAACGCACACUGAUGGACGACACAGGCCCGCUGGUUGUUUUUCUUCAUGAUGUCAGGUGGCAGUGGCGGGCGUUUCCUCCAGCGUGCACACCUGCUGCCAAUUUGAUCACCAGGUGAAGGACUGCGAAGAGCCGAUGUCUCUUGUUGGAUUGUUGUCCUCGUUGCUGCUCUUGCUCAAGUGUUGUUUUCUAGACCUCUCCAUCUCGUCAUUGUUGUUUUUGAGCUGUAGCCUUCCGCUUCGUAAGUAUUUAUUUUCUUUUUUGGUCUUUGAUCCUGCUCAUGUUUUUGUUUGGACUUUUUGUCGUUUCGUUUAUAUCUCGGAAGUUUCUUUUUCCUUUGCAAGCGCUUCUUGUAAAUGUAAAGUUUUCCUUGUUCUUUUGACCAGUAAUUUCUGUUUAUACUUUGUCGGUGUGUUUCUGUUUUAAAUAUUUUUGUGCAGG